CUGUCAGUCAUUUACAAAGACUUGAACCCAAGGCCCUGUCUACUUGAAGUCUUGAAGAGGACCUGGCUCUCUAAUCCUGGGAAGGACUGGAAUUAAAUGUGUGUACAACCAUGCCUGGCUACAGCAGCGUAAUUUCAAGAGUUCCAAAUUGGAUGCAGCCCAAGCAUCCUCCUCAGACAGAACAAGUAGAGAUAAAUUCAAAUGAUAGAACGUUGCAGACAACGACAAGAAAGAAGCUAGUUAUACCAACAAUGUGGAUGAAAUUUGCAAACAAAGCCAAGUAAAGAAGACCGUGGAGUGUUCGUGUUCUCUGAGUUUGUCCAUAGAUCGAAAUAGAGAUGGAGACAGGAGCUCUGAAAUCAGGCAGUUGAUGCAUGACUCUAUGCAUUUGUCACAACCCAUGGAAAUUUAUGUCACGAAGACUGAACUUUAAUAUAUACAAGGCUUUUUUCUUUCUCCCUUUUUAAAAAAAUAAACUAGGAUGGCAAAACACAA